AUGAUCGAGCAUGGUAUUUUCCCUUCGAUCAUAGAGGAGAGUGAUGAUGUGCCAUCUUCGGCCUUCAUCCGCGGCGACGACAACGAGAUGGUUGAGCAUGGGAUUCUCCCUUCGACCACGAUGACGUAUGAUGGCUUGAGUGACUUUUGCCACCAUAUUGAGAGUGAGAGUGACUUCACCACUAGCCCCAUAUAUGACGAGUUGCCCCAAUUCCCAUGUGAGGAGAGCCACAACCCCCACCACUUGAGUGAGAUGAGUGACUCCACCAUAUGUGAGUUUGAGUGCACCUAUUUUGAGGAGUGA
rnacentral:rRNA from 1 species